ACGCUGGCCAAUCAUGUAGGCAGAGAUGCUGGCCAAUCAGGAAGCCUAUCCUGGUUUUCCCCGCCAUCUCUCCACGCCUAGCAUUGAGUUGGCUGACUAUUGAGGGUCUCUCCGCACCGGGUCCUUUGAAGGGGACGAGGCUUUUAUUUGUGGUGACCAGUUGGAAAGAUGUUUAAGAAUAAUCAUCAUGACCACAAGCAAAAAGUGGAAGCCAUGAUUAAGAACAUUAAUACAAUUUCUUUGGAGAUGAAGCAGAUGAAAGAACUCUCCCAUAUCCUGCUGUGUGACCUCAAUCUCCAUUUUGGUCAGCCCAAGAAGACUGAGGACCCCAAGGAAGCAGAAACAAGCCACCCAUUUGAAGAGCCUGAGAUACCAGAUGUAGCCCUUGCUUCUAUCAGUUUAUCUGACUGAAUUUUUUUGUAUUUGUUUUAAAUUUCUGGUUUCAUUGACUUAAAAAUCUGGAAGAACUAAGUUUAUUAGUAUAACUUAAAACAAUAUAAAAUUAUAAAUGAACAUAGCAUCUGCUUAAAAGCUG